rnacentral:tRNA from 1 species
AACUUUAAAGCUUUUAUAGCAUUUCACUUACACUGAAAAAAAUCUAACAAAUUCAAGCAUUUAUAUUUAAUAAAAAUAAUUAUUA